rfam:Bacillus anthracis str. 'Ames Ancestor', complete genome.
GGUUAAGUUAGAAAGGGCGCACGGUGGAUGCCUUGACACUAGGAGUCGAUGAAGGACGGGACUAACGCCGAUAUGCUUCGGGGAGCUGUAAGUAAGCUUUGAUCCGAAGAUUUCCGAAUGGGGAAACCCACCAUACGUAAUGGUAUGGUAUCCUUAUCUGAAUACAUAGGGUAAGGAAGACAGACCCAGGGAACUGAAACAUCUAAGUACCUGGAGGAAGAGAAAGCAAAUGCGAUUUCCUGAGUAGCGGCGAGCGAAACGGAACAUAGCCCAAACCAAGAGGCUUGCCUCUUGGGGUUGUAGGACAUUCUAUACGGAGUUACAAAGGAACGAGGUAGACGAAGCGACCUGGAAAGGUCCGUCGUAGAGGGUAACAACCCCGUAGUCGAAACUUCGUUCUCUCUUGAAUGUAUCCUGAGUACGGCGGAACACGUGAAAUUCCGUCGGAAUCUGGGAGGACCAUCUCCCAAGGCUAAAUACUCCCUAGUGAUCGAUAGUGAACCAGUACCGUGAGGGAAAGGUGAAAAGCACCCCGGAAGGGGAGUGAAAGAGAUCCUGAAACCGUGUGCCUACAAAUAGUCAGAGCCCGUUAAUGGGUGAUGGCGUGCCUUUUGUAGAAUGAACCGGCGAGUUACGAUCCCGUGCGAGGUUAAGCUGAAGAGGCGGAGCCGCAGCGAAAGCGAGUCUGAAUAGGGCGUUUAGUACGUGGUCGUAGACCCGAAACCAGGUGAUCUACCCAUGUCCAGGGUGAAGUUCAGGUAACACUGAAUGGAGGCCCGAACCCACGCACGUUGAAAAGUGCGGGGAUGAGGUGUGGGUAGCGGAGAAAUUCCAAUCGAACCUGGAGAUAGCUGGUUCUCCCCGAAAUAGCUUUAGGGCUAGCCUUAAGUGUAAGAGUCUUGGAGGUAGAGCACUGAUUGGACUAGGGGUCCUCAUCGGAUUACCGAAUUCAGUCAAACUCCGAAUGCCAAUGACUUAUCCUUAGGAGUCAGACUGCGAGUGAUAAGAUCCGUAGUCAAAAGGGAAACAGCCCAGACCGCCAGCUAAGGUCCCAAAGUGUGUAUUAAGUGGAAAAGGAUGUGGAGUUGCUUAGACAACUAGGAUGUUGGCUUAGAAGCAGCCACCAUUUAAAGAGUGCGUAAUAGCUCACUAGUCGAGUGACUCUGCGCCGAAAAUGUACCGGGGCUAAAUACACCACCGAAGCUGCGGAUUGAUACCAAUGGUAUCAGUGGUAGGGGAGCGUUCUAAGGACAGUGAAGUCAGACCGGAAGGACUGGUGGAGUGCUUAGAAGUGAGAAUGCCGGUAUGAGUAGCGAAAGACGGGUGAGAAUCCCGUCCACCGAAUGCCUAAGGUUUCCUGAGGAAGGCUCGUCCGCUCAGGGUUAGUCAGGACCUAAGCCGAGGCCGACAGGCGUAGGCGAUGGACAACAGGUUGAUAUUCCUGUACCACCUCUUUAUCGUUUGAGCAAUGGAGGGACGCAGAAGGAUAGAAGAAGCGUGCGAUUGGUUGUGCACGUCCAAGCAGUUAGGCUGAUAAGUAGGCAAAUCCGCUUAUCGUGAAGGCUGAGCUGUGAUGGGGAAGCUCCUUAUGGAGCGAAGUCUUUGAUUCCCCGCUGCCAAGAAAAGCUUCUAGCGAGAUAAAAGGUGCCUGUACCGCAAACCGACACAGGUAGGCGAGGAGAGAAUCCUAAGGUGUGCGAGAGAACUCUGGUUAAGGAACUCGGCAAAAUGACCCCGUAACUUCGGGAGAAGGGGUGCUUUCUUAACGGAAAGCCGCAGUGAAUAGGCCCAAGCGACUGUUUAGCAAAAACACAGCUCUCUGCGAAGCCGUAAGGCGAAGUAUAGGGGGUGACACCUGCCCGGUGCUGGAAGGUUAAGGAGAGGGGUUAGCGUAAGCGAAGCUCUGAACUGAAGCCCCAGUAAACGGCGGCCGUAACUAUAACGGUCCUAAGGUAGCGAAAUUCCUUGUCGGGUAAGUUCCGACCCGCACGAAAGGUGUAACGAUUUGGGCACUGUCUCAACCAGAGACUCGGUGAAAUUAUAGUACCUGUGAAGAUGCAGGUUACCCGCGACAGGACGGAAAGACCCCGUGGAGCUUUACUGUAGCCUGAUAUUGAAUUUUGGUACAGUUUGUACAGGAUAGGCGGGAGCCUUUGAAACCGGAGCGCUAGCUUCGGUGGAGGCGCUGGUGGGAUACCGCCCUGACUGUAUUGAAAUUCUAACCUACGGGUCUUAUCGACCCGGGAGACAGUGUCAGGUGGGCAGUUUGACUGGGGCGGUCGCCUCCUAAAGUGUAACGGAGGCGCCCAAAGGUUCCCUCAGAAUGGUUGGAAAUCAUUCGUAGAGUGCAAAGGCAUAAGGGAGCUUGACUGCGAGACCUACAAGUCGAGCAGGGACGAAAGUCGGGCUUAGUGAUCCGGUGGUUCCGCAUGGAAGGGCCAUCGCUCAACGGAUAAAAGCUACCCCGGGGAUAACAGGCUUAUCUCCCCCAAGAGUCCACAUCGACGGGGAGGUUUGGCACCUCGAUGUCGGCUCAUCGCAUCCUGGGGCUGUAGUCGGUCCCAAGGGUUGGGCUGUUCGCCCAUUAAAGCGGUACGCGAGCUGGGUUCAGAACGUCGUGAGACAGUUCGGUCCCUAUCCGUCGUGGGCGUAGGAAAUUUGAGAGGAGCUGUCCUUAGUACGAGAGGACCGGGAUGGACGCACCGCUGGUGUACCAGUUGUUCUGCCAAGGGCAUAGCUGGGUAGCUAUGUGCGGAAGGGAUAAGUGCUGAAAGCAUCUAAGCAUGAAGCCCCCCUCAAGAUGAGAUUUCCCAUAGCGUAAGCUAGUAAGAUCCCUGAAAGAUGAUCAGGUUGAUAGGUUCGAGGUGGAAGCAUGGUGACAUGUGGAGCUGACGAAUACUAAUAGAUCGAGGACUUAACCAU